UUUUUAAUCUUUGUUACAAGACUACAAUUGAUCGCCAACAUAGAUGUGAUAUGGAUUUGCAUUUUGCAAGACUUCCUGUAAAAGUUCACUAAAGAAAAGGAUGUGGGUGUUGAGAUCCAAAGUCUGCAGAGCAAGCUAUACAUUUUGCAAGUCGUAUCUUAAGUUCUUCGAAAAAAGGAUGCAGAUGUUGAAAUCCAAGUUCUGCAAAGCAAGAUCUACAAUUUGCAAGUCAUAUUUUAAGGGUCCAUGGGUAGCUACUACAGUUCGUAUCUUCAUAAGACUGGCUGUUCAAGAAGGAUUAUGUAUUUAAAGGAUGCAGCCAUUGAGAUCCAGAUACUACAAGGCCUACUCCUUUUGGAAUUAGGGCAUUGGUUAUAAGACUUGCCCCACCAUCAUUGAGCAGUAUGAGAGCAAACAAGGAUCUGCAUUUUGCAAGCCAUACCCAAUAAUUAAGUAAAGAAAAAGAUAGUACAGUAAGCAUCUGCACCAUAAGGCGGACUCGUCAAGGAAUGAUAAGCUGCGGAAGUUGAAAUGGUAGGAGUGGGAUACAUUUGAUGAAGAAGCUGCUCUUCCUUGGAUUAAGCUGUUUAAGAUGUAGCAAGUACCCAAAGGCACAUGCAUGUAGUCAUCGCAACAGCUGUCUUAGUCAUUCAAGCCAAGGUGUUUGGACCGUGAGUUUUAGUUUUGAUCACGGAGGAAGUUUGAUGAAACCUGUGGAAGAGACCAAUGGAUUUUUCAUCUGGGUGUGAAGACACUGAUGCUGCUGUAAACAAGUCCCAGUACUGUUUGUGUCAUGUAUAACACAGAUCAUAUAAAAAAAAUGUAUUACCAUUUUAAAUCCUAAACUUUAUAUAAGUAUUUUCCUCUCUUUCAAAUACUUCAAAACUAGAUUACAAUGUUCCUGAUCGGUCAAAAAUACCUUGACAAAUGAGCGGAUCUUCAACUUGGCUAUUCCUUUAUAAGUGUUUAUAUUUUCUACCUUGAAGCUGUAAAUAAACUGGAUUGGCUUAU
rnacentral:lncRNA from 1 species